rnacentral:rRNA from 1 species
AGCUCCAAUAGCGUAUAUUAAAGUUGCUGCAGUUAAAAAGCUCGUAGUUGCAUUUCCGAGGCAAGGGAUUAGUCCGACCUUUGGUGGGUAUUUAAUCCUCUUGCCUCGUCCUUGAGGGGUGCUUCUUGGUAUUAAGUUAUCGAGGAGAUAGCCGCUCAUCGUUUACUGUGAGAAAAUUAGAGUGUUCAAAGCAGGCUUAUGCCGUUGAAUAUAUUAGCAUGGAAUAAUAAAUAGGACCUCGGUACUAUUUUGUUGGUUUGAGAACCAAGGUAAUGAUGAAUAGGGACAGUUGGGGGUAUUCGUAUUCAGUUGUCAGAGGUGAAAUUCUUAGAUUUACGGAAGACGAACUACUGCGAAAGCAUUUACCAAGGAUGUUUUCA